rnacentral:rRNA from 1 species
ACCUGAGUUCAGCAGGAUAACCCGCUGAACUUAAGCAUAUCAGUAAGCGGAGGAAAAGAAACUAACAAGGAUUGCCCCAGUAGCGGCGAGUGAACAGGCAAAAGCUCAAAAUGGAAAUCCUUUUCACAAUUUAGAGUGAAGGAAUUGUAAUCUAGAGGACAGUUGCGAAGGCAUAGUUUCAGCAUGAGUUCCUUGGAAUAGGACGCCAAAGAGGGUGAUAGCCCCAUACAUGGCUGGAGACUGGCUGUAGGAGCUGUUAUUCAAAGAGUCGGGUUGUUUGGGAUUGCAGCCCUAAGUGGGAGAUAAACUUCUUCUAAAGCUAAAAUAUUGAUGGGAAACCGAUAGCGAACAAGUACUACGAAGGAAAGAUGAAAAGAACUUUGAAAAGAGGGUUAAAAGACUUGAAAUCGUUGAGUAGGAAGCAGUUGGAGGGCAGUCACUUGUCUACGAUAUUGGUGAGAGCUGGUGGAAUAAAGCACUUCAGCGCGUAGUUAGCGAAGGCUUUUUCUUCGGUCGCUGGUAAUUACUCCCAAAUUACCUACUUAUUAGGAAACGGAGUGAUAAUGGGAUGGUACUUAACAGGGCCUACCAGCCAGUCGAUAACGGACAGCUGCGCCUUAUUCGAAAGCAAAAGACAGAUUGGACAUCAGAGUGCGGGAAUAAACGUGGGGGGUCGCACUGAGCCCUAGUUGCUUGGAGCCCCUGCGCAGAAACCGGGACUAGGUGUUGAGGGAUCCUGCGGGAGAAUCUGUCACGACGUCUCCAACUGACCCGUCUUGAAACACGGACCAAGGAGUGUACCAGUCAUGCGAGUGAUAGGGUGGAAAAACCCGAUCGCGCAGAGAAAUCGAGUAAAAGCAGCGAAUAACAAUGCAGCUGCGGCCUACCCUGAGUUUCUAACGAAGGGCUAGAGCAAGAGCAAGCUUGGUACGACCCGAAAGAUGGUGAACUACGCUUGAGUACGCCGAAGCCAGGGGAAACUCUGGUGGAAGGUGGAAGCGAUACUGACGUGCAAAUCGUUCGUCAAACUUGGGUGUAGGGGCGAAAGACUAAUCGAACCAUCUAGUAGCUGGUUCCCUCUGAAGUUUCUCUCAGGAUAGCUGAAGCCACCACAAAAGCAGUUUUAUCAGGUAAAGCGAAUGAUUAGAGGAUCCGGCGAUCAAAGAUUGUUGACCUAUUCUCAAACUUCAAAUUGGUAAGCACCCUUAGUUACGCUUAAUUGAACUAGGGGGUAGAAUGCAGGGCUUCAAGUGGGCCAUUUUUGGUAAGCAGAACUGGCGAUGAGGGAUGCUCCUUUCGUUGAGAUAAGGUGCCAAAGUACCCGCUUAUCAGACACCAUAAAAGAUGUUGGUUCAUUUAGACAGCAGGACGGUGGCCCUGGAAGUCGGAACCCGCUAAGGAGUGUGUAACAACUCACCUGCCGAAUGAACUAGCUCUGAAAAUUGAUGGCGCUCAGCGGGACACCGAUACUCAACCAUUGCUGCAAAUAAGAUGCAUGCAAUGCGUAAGAGGGCGUGGACGUCCGGUGUGGAAGGCUAGGGUGUGAACCCGGCUGGAACGGCGUCUAGUGCAGAUCUUGGUGGUAGUAGCAAAUAUUCAAAUGAGAACUUUGAAGACCGAAGUGGGGAAGGGUUCCGCGAGAACAGCAAUUGGUCGCGGGUUAGUCGGUCCUAAGGCUAAGGCGAACGCCGAAAGCAUGGAGAACUUCUGCUUCUCCGCUGCCGAAAGGGAAAGCGGUUAACAUCCCGCUACCUACAUACGGAUAUUAUGCGGCAACGCAAACAAUCCCGAAGACGUCGGCAUGUGUCACUGGAAGAGUUCUCUUUUCUUUUUAACUAGUCAUGACCACGGAACUGGAUUAUCCAGAGAUCUGGUUGUACGCUAGGCAGAGCAGUCCACUCUACGGGCUGUCAGUUGCACACGUGACGAUCAAUGAAAAUUCGGGGGCGAGGAUUAUUUCGUAGUAGGCCGUACCCAUAACCGCAUCAGGUCUCCAAGGUU